rnacentral:rRNA from 1 species
CAGCCGCCACGGGAAUACGAAGGGGGCUAGCGUUGUUCGGAAUCACUGGGCGUAAAGCGCACGUAGGCGGAUCUUUAAGUCAGGGGUGAAAUCCCGAGGCUCAACCUCGGAACUGCCUUUGAUACUGGGGAUCUCGAGUCCGGGAGAGGUGAGUGGAACUGCGAGUGUAGAGGUGAAAUUCGUAGAUAUUCGCAAGAACACCAGUGGCGAAGGCGGCUCACUGGCCCGGAACUGACGCUGAGGUGCGAAAGCGUGGGGAGCAAACAGGAUUAGAUACCCCCGUAGUCCCUGUCUCUUAUAA